CCUACGGGUGGCAGCAGUCGAGAAUCAUUCACAAUGGGGGAAACCCUGAUGGUGCGACGCCGCGUGGGGGAAUGAAGGUCUUCGGAUUGUAAACCCCUGUCAUGUGGGAGCAAAUUAAAAAGAUAGUACCACAAGAGGAAGAGACGGCUAACUCUGUGCCAGCAGCCGCGGUAAUACAGAGGUCUCAAGCGUUGUUCGGAAUCACUGGGCGUAAAGCGUGCUGAGGCUGUUUCGUAAGUCGUGUGUGAAAGGCGCGGGCCCAACCCGCGGAAGGCACAUGAUCCUGCGAGACUAGAGUAAUGGAGGGGGAACCGGAAUUCUCGGUGUAGAAG
rnacentral:rRNA from 1 species